GGGUUGUGAGGUUAAGCGACUAAGCGUACACGGUGGAUGCCCUGGCAGUCAGAGGCGAUGAAGGACGUGCUAAUCUGCGAAAAGCGUCGGUAAGGUGAUAUGAACCGUUAUAGCCGGCGAUGUCCGAAUGGGGAAACCCAGUGCAAUUCGUUGCACUAUCGUUAACUGAAUACAUAGGUUAACGAGGCGAACCGGGGGAACUGAAACAUCUAAGUACCCCGAGGAAAAGAAAUCAACCGAGAUUCCCCCAGUAGCGGCGAGCGAACGGGGAGCAGCCCAGAGUCUGAAUCAGCUUGUGUGUUAGUGGAACGGUCUGGAAAGUCCGACGGUACAGGGUGAUAGUCCCGUACACCAAAAUGCACAGGUUGUGAACUCGAAGAGUAGGGCGGGACACGUGGUAUCCUGUCUGAAUAUGGGGGGACCAUCCUCCAAGGCUAAAUACUCCUGACUGACCGAUAGUGAACCAGUACCGUGAGGGAAAGGCGAAAAGAACCCCGGCGAGGGGAGUGAAAAAGAACCUGAAACCGUGUACGUACAAGCAGUGGGAGCACCUUCGGGUGUGACUGCGUACCUUUUGUAUAAUGGGUCAGCGACUUAUAUUCUGUAGCAAGGUUAACCGUAUAGGGGAGCCGCAGGGAAACCGAGUCUUAACUGGGCGUUAAGUUGCAGGGUAUAGACCCGAAACCCGGUGAUCUAGCCAUGGGCAGGUUGAAGGUUGGGUAACACUAACUGGAGGACCGAACCGACUAAUGUUGAAAAAUUAGCGGAUGACUUGUGGCUGGGGGUGAAAGGCCAAUCAAACCGGGAGAUAGCUGGUUCUCCCCGAAAGCUAUUUAGGUAGCGCCUCGUGAACUCAUCUUCGGGGGUAGAGCACUGUUUCGGCUAGGGGGUCAUCCCGACUUACCAACCCGAUGCAAACUACGAAUACCGAAGAAUGUUAUCACGGGAGACACACGGCGGGUGCUAACGUCCGUCGUGAAGAGGGAAACAACCCAGACCGCCAGCUAAGGUCCCAAAGUCAUGGUUAAGUGGGAAACGAUGUGGGAAGGCACAGACAGCCAGGAUGUUGGCUUAGAAGCAGCCAUCAUUUAAAGAAAGCGUAAUAGCUCACUGGUCGAGUCGGCCUGCGCGGAAGAUGUAACGGGGCUAAACCAUGCACCGAAGCUGCGGCAGCGACACUAUGUGUUGUUGGGUAGGGGAGCGUUCUGUAAGCCUGCGAAGGUGUGCUGUGAGGGUUGCUGGAGGUAUCAGAAGUGCGAAUGCUGACAUAAGUAACGAUAAAGCGGGUGAAAAGCCCGCUCGCCGGAAGACCAAGGGUUCCUGUCCAACGUUAAUCGGGGCAGGGUGAGUCGACCCCUAAGGCGAGGCCGAAAGGCGUAGUCGAUGGGAAACAGGUUAAUAUUCCUGUACUUGGUGUUACUGCGAAGGGGGGACGGAGAAGGCUAUGUUAGCCGGGCGACGGUUGUCCCGGUUUAAGCAUGUAGGCUAGGAACAAAUGCCCUGCUUCCAGGAAAAGCCUCUAAGCAUCAGGUAACAUUAAAUCGUACCCCAAACCGACACAGGUGGUCAGGUAGAGAAUACCAAGGCGCUUGAGAGAACUCGGGUGAAGGAACUAGGCAAAAUGGUGCCGUAACUUCGGGAGAAGGCACGCUGGUGUGUAGGUGGAGCUGAGACCAGUCGAAGAUACCAGCUGGCUGCAACUGUUUAUUAAAAACACAGCACUGUGCAAACACGAAAGUGGACGUAUACGGUGUGACGCCUGCCCGGUGCCGGAAGGUUAAUUGAUGGGGUUAUCCGUAAGGAGAAGCUCUUGAUCGAAGCCCCGGUAAACGGCGGCCGUAACUAUAACGGUCCUAAGGUAGCGAAAUUCCUUGUCGGGUAAGUUCCGACCUGCACGAAUGGCGUAAUGAUGGCCAGGCUGUCUCCACCCGAGACUCAGUGAAAUUGAACUCGCUGUGAAGAUGCAGUGUACCCGCGGCAAGACGGAAAGACCCCGUGAACCUUUACUAUAGCUUGACACUGAACAUUGAGCCUUGAUGUGUAGGAUAGGUGGGAGGCUUUGAAGCGUGGACGCCAGUCUGCGUGGAGCCAACCUUGAAAUACCACCCUUUAAUGUUUGAUGUUCUAACGUUGGCCCCUGACCGGGGUUGCGGACAGUGUCUGGUGGGUAGUUUGACUGGGGCGGUCUCCUCCCAAAGCGUAACGGAGGAGCACGAAGGUUAGCUAAUCCUGGUCGGACAUCAGGAGGUUAGUGCAAUGGCAUAAGCUAGCUUGACUGCGAGCGUGACGGCGCGAGCAGGUGCGAAAGCAGGUCAUAGUGAUCCGGUGGUUCUGAAUGGAAGGGCCAUCGCUCAACGGAUAAAAGGUACUCCGGGGAUAACAGGCUGAUACCGCCCAAGAGUUCAUAUCGACGGCGGUGUUUGGCACCUCGAUGUCGGCUCAUCACAUCCUGGGGCUGAAGUAGGUCCCAAGGGUAUGGCUGUUCGCCAUUUAAAGUGGUACGCGAGCUGGGUUUAGAACGUCGUGAGACAGUUCGGUCCCUAUCUGCCGUGGGCGCUGGAGAAUAGAGGGGGGCUGCUCCUAGUACGAGAGGACCGGAGUGGACGCAUCACUGGUGUUCGGGUUGUCAUGCCAAUGGCACUGCCCGGUAGCUAAAUGCGGAAGAGAUAAGUGCUGAAAGCAUCUAAGCACGAAACUUGCCCCGAGAUGAGUUCUCCCUGAGACAGUCUCCUGAAGGAACGUUAAAGACGAUGACGUUGAUAGGCCGGGUGUGUAAGCGCAGCGAUGCGUUGAGCUAACCGGUACUAAUGAACCGUGAGGCUUAACCUUACAACG
rnacentral:rRNA from 1 species